UGUUGGCUUGGAAACCGGGAAAGGGAAUAACAAUCAAAAUGUAAAUAACAAAUACCCAAGUUAAUAAAGAUGAAAAAAAGAAAAAAAAAAGAAGGCACAGGAGAUAGCCCCAGGAAAUAAAGCCAUCCAGGCAGAACUGCUUAAAGUCAAACAAAUGAUAAAGGCACAGAAAGAUAAAGAGAAGGCAGUGUAUGCAAAAAUGUUUGCUUAAUAAGGAUUAAAGUUUCCUUAACUAUUAUACAUUGAUUAUAUAAAGGAGCAUGUAUAUUACUGUCUACACAAUCCCUGAUGUGUUUCCCUUGAUCUUUGUCAUUGUUUAUAUAGCAGUGCUGACAUCCGCUCCUUCUUAAUAAAGUUACGAAUUACAGUAAAAAAAAAAAAAGAAUACUGAUUAUCCACUGGACCUGAGUUCAUUUUCCACCAUCCCAUCAAAGGGUCACAUGGAACCUCCUGUUGUUCCAGCUCCAUGGAAUUAGAUGCCCUCUUCUGGAUUCUACAGGAUUUUAUCCAACAUCCCCAUCCAACAUCUGAGUGAAACAGAUGCAGAGAUCCAGAGCCUAACAUUGGAUGGAACUUGGGGACUCUUAUGGAUGGACAAGAGUCUCCUCAGUCCAGCAUCUCAAUCAUGGCUAUUGUUCUUGCUCUGAUUUUUGGAGCUCUGCUUACAGGAGCAGUGGAGAGUUUUCUGAUAUGGAAGUAGAGGACGAAAACGGACUCUCCCUGUAUGUUGUACUCCAUCCUCAGGAAGUGGACAUCCCUGCCUCUUCUGUUUCUUGUAUCUCCAAGGAAUUGAGAUCUGUCUUCGGUACUGAGUAUGAGUCUGCUGUCUCUCUCCUCAGGUUGUUCCGAGUUUCUGAAAGCAACAGGCAUAUGUCUUUUUUUUUAUUUUUAAAAAUGUAUAUUUAUGAUUGGGGCCCCUGAGCACUUAGAAUCUUUUUUUUAAAUUUUUUUUUAUUAACUUGAGUAUUUCUUAUAUACAUUUCGAGUGUUAUUCCCUUUCCCGGUUUCCGGGCAAACAUCCCCCUCCCCCCUCCCCUUCCUUAUGGGUGUUCCCCUCCCAACCCUCCCCCCAUUGCCGCCCUCCCCCCCACAGUCUAGUUCAUUGGGGGUUCAGUCUUAGCAGGACCCAGGGCUUCCCCUUCCACUGGUGCUCUUACUAGGAUAUUCAUUGCUACCUAUGAGGUCAGAGUCCAGGGUCAGUCCAUGUAUAGUCUUUAGGUAGUGGCUUAGUCCCUGGAAGCUCUGGUUGCUUUGUUGUACAUAUGGGGUCUCGAGCCCCUUCAAGCUCUUCCAGUUCUUUCUCUGAUUCCUUCAGCGGGGGUCCUAUUCUCAGUUCAGUGGUUUGCUGCUGGCAUUCGCCUCUGUAUUUGCUGUAUUCUGGCUGUGUCUCUCAGGAGCGAUCUACAUCCGGCUCCUGUCAGUCUGCACUUCUUUGCUUCAUCCAUCUUGUCUAAUUGGGUGGCUGUAUAUGUGGCAUAUGUCUUUAAUUGACCCACAAAGCCACCUACUCUUGAUCAGAAGCAUCUCCAUGGUGGUAUCAUCAACAGAAGUUUUAGGGUCAAACCUUGUUUUCUGACACCUGUAAUAAGCUAAGCUAUGCCAAAACAAAAAGGCAACUAAGUAGACAAAUAUAGUGAAAGGCAGGAAAAGGACUUUAUUAAAUGUGGGCAAAUUUGGAAGAGAGGCAAACUAAUUAAGGGACUCUCUCUUGCUCUCCAGGUUAUUCUUUAGGAUUCUGACAUGAGUUUCAAGUUUAAAUAUAGAACUUGGGAGUCUCAUAUUCUCCUUCUAAUUGUUCAUUGUAUUUUAUUUUACAUUACUAUUAAACUGCUAAAAAAUCCAGGGAUUCCUGGACAUCAAUUACCUCUUCUGAUGGCAGUGACCUAAUUAGUCCCAGAUUAUACUCUGAAGAUUCUCUCAGACUGCACCUUUGUAUCCUCCCACAUCACUGGUCUCUCAUCCUUGAACUUCUUACUUCCAUAUCCCUUUCAGGUGCCUGCAUUAUUGUUGUGUGCUGUUACUCACAAGCAUUCUGUAAAGUUUUAAAGUAUGUCUAUUUAUGCAGAACCAUAAGAAAAUGCAUACAUUUAACAAGUGACAUAUAUAGAUAGGAAGUGUACAAUUACUGUGUGAAUUUUAUAUUGAGGCAGGAUCUCAUACACUUAAGGAUGGUCUUUACCUCAUGGUAUUUAUGCCUCUUCUUUUGAUAGGUUGGACUAGAGGCAUGAAUUGACUAUGUGCUGUUUCAAUAUGUUAAUCAUGUAAAAUAAAAUACAAUGAACAAUUAAAAGGGGGAGAAUAUAAGACUCCUGAGUUCUAAGGUUCUAAGUUCUAAGUCCUAAGAGGAAUAUCAAAUGUCGGAGAAGCACUGAAAGAAAUGUUCAAAUUGCUUAUUCAUUAUGGAAAUGCAAUCAAAACAACUCUAAGGUUCCGUAUUACACACCCACUAGAAUGGCUAAGGUCAAAACCUCAAGAGACAGAUCAUUCUCAAGAGGAUGUACUCCCUCAUUGCUGGUGGGAGCACCAACUUGUACAACCACUUUGGAAAUCAAUUUGGCAGUUUCUCAGAAAACUGGGAAUAGUUGUACCUUAAGACCCAGCCACAUCAGUCCUAGGCAUAUACUCAAAAGAUUCUCCAACAUACCACCGAACCACUUGCUCUACUAUGUUCAUAGAAGCUUUGUUCAUAAUAACCAGAAACUGGAAACAACCUAGAUGUCCCUCAACUGAAGAAUGGAUAAAGAAGAUGGGACCCUAUACCUCUCUUGGGCAUAUACCCAAAAGAUGCCUCAACAUAUAAAAGAGACACGUGCUCCACUAUGUUCAUCGCAGCCUUAUUUAUAAUAGCCAGAAACUGGAAAGAACCCAGAUGCCCUUCAACAGAGGAAUGGAUACAGAAAAUGUGGUACAUCUACACAAUGGAAUAUUACUCAGCUAUCAAAAACAACGAGUUUAUGAAAUUCGUAGGCAAAUGGUUGGAACUGGAAAAUAUCAUCCUGAGUGAGCUAACCCAAUCACAGAAAGACAUACAUGGUAUGCACUCAUUGAUAAGUGGCUAUUAGCCCAAAUGCUUGAAUUACCCUAGAUCCCUAGA